rnacentral:rRNA from 1 species
GACGUAGGGCGCGAGCGUUGUCCGGAUUUAUUGGGCGUAAAGAGCUCGUAGGCGGCUUGUUGCGUCGACUGUGAAAACCCGCGGCUUAACCGCGGGCUUGCAGUUGAUACGGGCAGGCUAGAGUUCGGUAGGGGAGACUGGAAUUCCUGGUGUAGCGGUGAAAUGCGCAGAUAUCAGGAGGAACACCGGUGGCGAAGGCGGUUCUCUGGGCCUGACCUGACGCUGAGGAGCGAAAGCGUGGGGAGCGAACAGG